GCACUGGCCCGACUCGGCUGGGAGGACUGCCGGGACUCCAGAGUCCGCGAGAAGCCUCCCUGGCGGGUGCUCUUCUUCGGCACGGACCAGUUCGCCCGCGAGGCGCUGCGGGCGCUGCACGCCGCCAGGGAAAACAAAGAAGAAGAGUUAAUCGACAAACUGGAGGUGGUCACAAUGCCUUCCCCAUCACCAAAAGGACUGCCAGUGAAGCAAUAUGCUGUGCAGUCUCAGCUUCCCGUAUAUGAGUGGCCAGACGUGGGAUCUGGAGAAUAUGAUGUUGGAGUAGUGGCUUCGUUUGGCCGACUUUUGAAUGAGUCUCUUAUUCUUAAAUUUCCCUAGUAAGUUUUAUUUGUACGGAAAUACAGUAUAGAAACCUUGGUCUUUAUAAAUGGACCUUGUAUAUAAAAUGUGAUAAUUUGAA
rnacentral:sRNA from 1 species